GGUGGGGCAGCAGCUGGCGCUCAGCCUCCAGAGCACGGGACUGGCAUUGGCACUGGCACACGCGCGCGCUAUGGCAAGUGAAGUGCAAGUCCUGCUCUCCCCACUGAAAGGGGGGCAUCCUCCUGCAGUAAAAGCUGGAGGAAUGCGAAUUUCCAAAAAACAAGACCUUGGAGUCCUGGAGAGACAUACCAAAAAAACGGGAUUAGAGAAAACAAGUGCCAUUGCAAACAUUGCAAAACUGCAGGCGAUGGAUACCCUGAACGACACACUGGAGAAGCUCAGCCAUAAAUUCCCAGCAGCAGUGCAUAUGGCCCAUCAGAAACCCAGACCUGCUCUGGAGAAGGUCACUCCACUGAAAAGGAUCCACAUUAUUCAGCAGCCUCGAAAAUGUUAAGCUGGGACAAAAACACAGCCAUCUGGCCACCUGCCUCGAACAUCCAACAGCUUAGCAAAAGGACCAAAACUCUCCGUAGGUCUAGUGCACUUGCUUGACUGGCCACUUCACCUCCCUUUGAUGUAGUCCUGAAGUGCACUGAAGAAAGGAGCUGAGGAACAAAUGCAGCAACAAAGUCAGAGGCAAAAAAAGCAAUUCCAGAACCUGAUCACAUGUAUCACUGUUGCAGAUGGAAGCAAACAAAUGAAUUUGAAACAG